ACUUUGAAGAGAGAGUUCAAAAGGGCGUGAACCGCUUAGAAGAAAACGGACGGAGCCGUCGGGAGCCUUCGGGAAUCAGUCUCGCGAUAGGCGAACGUGCGGCGAUUCGGAACGCAAGUCCGAUCGUUGUGCGGCUAGUAGCUUUCGCUUGGCGCAUUUCUCGAAGGUAAGCACCGCGACCGAUACGAAAGGCCGACGAAGCGUUUUGGAUUGAGGGCGAGACCUCUCACGGGGACUCGUAACCAGUCUUUACGUCGUAGUCGUCGGACCGCAGUAUGUAUCGAUAGCCAAAGUUAUAUUAUAUACGCCGGCCGUAAAGCUCGCUCGAGUAACGGAUAGUUGGUCAAUAGUGUUGGUACUUGCUCGCAGGUGCUAAUCUAUUCGAUUCGGCUUUGAAGUUAUCGGCGACGUUUCGGCGUAUAGGCGUCGGCGGUGUCAGUGUCGGCCACCCAUCCGACCCGUCUUGAAACACGGACCAAGGAGUCUAACAUAUGCGCGAGCUAAUGGGUGGAAAACCCAAAAGCGUAAUAAAAGUAAACGCCGUUUCGGACGGCUAAGGUACGAUCCUAGUGUCCUUUGCGACAUUAGGCGCAGUACUGUCCCGUCCCGACCGCAUGUCGGUAGGGCGGAGAUAGAGUGCAUACGUUGGGACCCGAAAGAUGGUGAACUAUGCCUGAGCAGAGCGAAGCCAGAGGAAACUCUGGUGGAGGUUCGUAGCGGUUCUGACGUGCAAAUCGAUCGUCAGACUUGGGUAUAGGGGCGAAA
rnacentral:rRNA from 1 species